rnacentral:pre_miRNA from 1 species
UUUAAGCGUAUAUAUGAGUUUUUAUGUCUAAUUUUGAUCGUUCGUAAAUUUUUUAUGAUUAAUAUUUUUAUUGUUAUUAGAUGAUAAAACAUGAAUAAUAAUUUAUACGUGACUUAUGUUUUUAUUUCUUUUUAAAAAAUAAAUAAUAUGAACAAUUAAAAUUAGAUAUGAAAACUCAUUGCAACGUUUAAA